CAGAGCUUCCAGACUCACAGAUUUGAUGCCCUAGGAGAUCGGACUCGCUUGAGAUCUGAGCAACAGCGACUACCUGGGGCCUAACAGAGGUUCUGAGGAUAAUACUGAAAUACAAAAGGAAAGAAAACAUCAGGAGACAGAGUGAGAAAGAGAAAGGAGCAUGCACUGUCGUCUAAAGGAGAUCAUUCCGGUCAGAGCACUGCUGUGUUUGAGCUGUGGGUCCUUGGACAAGUCAUUCAGCUUUCUGAGCCUGAGAUUCCAUCCUGCCCACGUCUCCAUCACCUCCAGCUGGUAAUAAAGACCAAAUGAGGACUGGAAGUGCUUUGCUUAUGCAAACAUGAAGUACUGGUGUUAGUACCUGCCUAAGAAGGGAUUCUUGAGGGCCCGGAGGGUGUCUUGUUCACCACUGAUCCCCAAGGACUGACGCUAUGCCGAGCAUUGAGAAGGGAUGCAACAACGUUCAUUAAAUGAAUGAGUGAACAUGUGCAGGAAUGACAGCCCAUGGGGCAAGCGGGUGUUUUGGGAUCCAGUAUUCAGCUGGAUGCAUCAUCCAUACAUCCCUUUUCUGCCUGGACCAUCCUCAUUGGACACAGGAGAGAAGAAGGGUCCUCUUUUUUGAUUGACCAAUAAACUGACAGUUUAUGGGAAGUAUUUCACCCCUACACAUGUUGGAGUUAUAGUUGAUGAGGUCCUUUUUCUGUCCACCAGAAGCCAAAAUUAGUGCUCAGAAGCAGGGAGAAAAAAAGCAUUCGAUCCUGAAACUCAUACUUAAAAGGAAAGGCUAGUAGUGUAUUUUUAGUUAGUUAUUGUGCCUAUGAAUUUUGAGCCAGAAUGGCCACUAGGCCUGGAUAUUGAAACAGGGUGACACCUCUUAUUUCUGCUAAGUGCCACCCGACAUUAAAAGUCACUCGUAUUUUUUUUUUUAAGUGUAAUUAUCCCAGAGAGCCUGCAGGGCUAAAAUUUGCUUGUGUGAAAUAAACAUGAAACCCCCAUCUCCCUGUAUUAUCUGUGCUGUCACAUCUCAGGCUCUUAAAGCACUCGCAGUGGGGCCCAGCCUACAUACUCUGUGUGCUGAGUUCCUUUGUUUCCAGAUCCACCUUCCACCUUUGUCCAUGCUGCUGUGGGCCCACAGAAUCUGGCCAAGAUGGGCUGCACACACAGGGUCCCUCAUUCCAGGUCAGCAGAAUGGAGGGCAGAAGGAAAAUAAACUGUGGGGUAUUUAUUUCCCUGGUUUCUUCUCUAAUAACUCAGCAGAGGACACGGUGGAUGCCAGGCUUUCUCCACAGAGCUCCCCUUUCUUCUUCCCCGCCUUCUUGUGAGCAGGUCCAGAUGAGAUAACAGCUCCUUGUCACUCCUGGCCCCAAAGGGUGCCCUGUCUGUUGGUGGUUUCA